UGAGCUGAACAGCCAUCAGUGGUCUCUCUCACACUGACAAAGCCUGACCAGCAUUUCCGAUUCAACAUGAUGAACCAGCUGAAAAGCUGCAAACUAGUGUCAACGGUGUGGAAUCCACCGGGAAGACGACGCUACGAUGGCUGACCAGUGGCUUGUGGUGAAACAAGCACUGAAGUGUUACUUUGGAGAUCCUUAAGUAUCUCAGGGCUAAAGUGGGAUGUUUGGCAGCCCGCCUUCUUCACUUUGGAGCUGCAUUCACUACUGCUGUGUUAAUGUGUCUGGAGACUGUGGAGUGUGGGGUGUAAAUGAAACCAAAGAGACAAGUUGGGGUUUGGCAUACUUGCAUCUGAUCAAUUAUUCAUGCUGUGUGUUUGCAGGGGAAACCACAUAGUACAAACUAAAGUGAUCAAAUCUGUACAUGGAUAUUUAUUUAAAGUUGACGUUUUGUGUGGCACAGCAGUGACUUUGGGGUGCAACUUUUAGGGAUUCUGUUGUAACUUCAGUCACAAAUUGAAAAAUAGUUUCACAUUUGUAACUCAAACAUCUAAUGCAAUAUUACACUUAUUAAAGUGGCUUAUACUAUUUCCACUCCCUAACGUGAGCGGUGUCAUGACAGCUGCAUGCAUUUGGAGUGACUUUACCUGCUGUCAAUAACACCUGAAACAUGAUUUAUUGGUUAUUUUUAUUUUUAUAAUGGCUUAUUGUUAGUUUAUUGGCUUAUUGUUGUUAGUUUGUAUGUAUUGUACUUGUAUGUAUUAAAAAUCUGUUAAAUAGCCUGCUCAUCAAAGGGCCCUGAACACAAUGUUGACCACAAUUCAUGAGUUCUUAUUGUGAACAUGACAGGCUCCUGCUCUAUAGUUCCCAUUGACAUUUGACCUUCCUGUAGCAGAGACAGGAAAAUUAGAUUUUUUUUUUUUUUUUUUUUUUUUUU